rnacentral:lncRNA from 1 species
ACAAAAUAGCAUGGAAUGAUAAGUCAACCAUGGUUGACCGGUGGCAAUUCAGUAAAUACCACAUUCAUUAAACCAAACGCAGCGUACAGGGGAGGGAAACCAAAUGUUCUCAUUGGUUGAUGGCUUAAUGGAACAGUACUCAUGCAGCAGAUCCAACAACAACAGCCAAUAGCAUUCACGAUUUCUGGAAAUGGCCAUUAGGGUUUAUGCAACUUAGGGUUCUAGCAGCAACAGGGCAACUUCAUGUUAUCACCAUAAAUCG